CCUAAGGUAGCGAAAUUCCUUGUCAGGUAAGUUCUGACCCGCACGAAUGGCGUAACGAUUUGGGCACUGUCUCAACAGCCCGCCCGGCGAAAUUGUAGUACCGGUGAAGAUGCCGGUUACCCGCAACUAGACGGAAAGACCCCAUGGAGCUUUACUGCAGCUUAAUACUGAGAUUCGGUAAUUCAUGUACAGGAUAGGUGGGAGACUUAGAAGCAGAGUCGUUAGGCGCUGUGGAGUCACCCUUGGGAUACCACCCUUGGAUUGCUGGGUUUCUAACCUGCGGCCAUGAAUCUGGUCGGGGGACACUGUUAGGCGGGCAGUUUGACUGGGGCGGUCGCCUCCUAAAGUGUAGCGGAGGCGCUCAAAGCUUGGCUCAGCAUGGAUGGAAAUCAUGCAAUGAGUGUAAACGUAUAAGCCAAGUUGACUGCGAGACCGACGGGUCGAGCAGGUACGAAAGUAGGAGUUAGUGAUCCGGUGGUAUGUGAGUGGAAAUGCCAUCGCUCAACGGAUAAAAGCUACCCUGGGGAUAACAGGCUGAUCUCCCCCAAGCGUCCACAGCGACGGGGAGGUUUGGCACCUCGAUGUCGGCUCGUCGCAUCCUGGGGCUGUAUUCGGUCCCAAGGGUUUGGCUGUUCGCCAAUUAAAGCGGCACGCGAGCUGGGUUCAGAACGUCGUGAGACAGUUCGGUCCCUAUCUGUUGCGGGCGUAAGAGAUUUGAAGGGAGCUGUCCUUAGUACGAGAGGACCGGGAUGGACUGACCGCUGGUGCACCAGUUGUUCUGCCAAGAGCAUAGCUGGGUAGCUACGUCGGGACGAGAUAAACGCUGAAGGCAUCUAAGCGUGAAACUCCCCCUAAGAUAAGAUCUCUCAUCCUUUAUGGAGUAAGGCUCGUCGUAGACUAUGACGUUGAUAGGUCAGAGGUGGAAGCGCCGUAAGGUGUGUAGCUGACUGAUACUAAUAAGCCGAGGGCUUGACCU
rnacentral:rRNA from 1 species